CCAUACCAUGCUGAAUAUACCGGUUCUCGUUAGAUCACCGAAGUCAAGCAUCAUUGGGCGCGGUCAGUACUUGGGUGGGUGACCACCUGGGAACACCGCGUGCCGCUG